GCUUACGGCCAUACCAACCUGAAUGCGCCCGAUCUCGUCUGAUCUCGGAAGCUAAGCAGGGUCAGGCCUGGUUAGUACUUCGAUGGGAGACCGCCUGGGAAUACCAGGUGCUGUAAGCU
rnacentral:rRNA from 1 species